UCGUGAUGCGGGUUUUCUGUUGCGUUGUCGUCUCUGAGUUACAUCAUGCAGUCUGGCGUCUGGUUUGAUCUGAAGAAGAUGCAGAAAAUAAACCGACAAGGACCAACGCCAGGAGACGGAAAAAGGCUUUGAAGGAAGAACGCCAAGAGCUUAACACACACACACACACACACACACACACACACACACACACACACACACACACACACACCCUGAAAGUGGAUUUAUGGCCAAAAAUACGAGGACAGACGUCAUUUAUUGAGCAUUCUGCAGAUGUUUUGCAUCAUUUUGCAUCAUUUUGUGCAUCAUGUUGUUGAUUUUGUGUCACUUUCUGGGUGUUUGUGGUUGUUUUUGUGACACUUUGCAUCUAUUUUUAGCUGUUCUCUGUGUGUUAAAGGUCGUACUGUGUCGCAGUUGAUUCACCUUACGCCUUGCUUUGGUAAUUUUACGGCUUUUUAUGGCCCUUCUCUGUCUCUGUGAUCAUUUUCGUCUCACAUUUGCAUCAUUUUCUAUCUAAUUUUGUCAUUUUAUGUCACAUUUUCACAAUUUUUUUGACUGUUUUUAAUCUCUUUGUCGAUACUCGAGACAUUUUGAGUCUAUUUGUUGCAGUUUUUCUGUGCCUUGGUCAUCAUUUUAUGUCUUAUUUUGGUCAUUUUGUACCUGGUCAUGGUUGUUUUGUAUCCAUUUUGCAUUUCUUUUUAGGCAUUCUGCCUCUAUUCAUUUUUUAAGCUUCUUUUUCAUUGUUUAUUGUCCCAUUUUUAAAAUUUUGCGUCUCUUUGUGGUUGUUUUGUAUCAGUUUGGCAUCUCUUUUUAUGUAUUUAGUCUCUUGGUUAUCAUUUUAUGUCUUAUUUUGGUCAUUUUGCAUCUUCCUGGUAGUUUUUUGUCAUUUUUUCUUAUUGCAUCUAUUUGUGAUCAUUUUGUGUCCCAUAAUGUUGUUUUUGCAUCUCUUUUUAAGUGUUCGGUCUCUUGGCUAUCAUUUUAUGUGUCAUUUUGUCCAUUUUUCACUUCUGUUUUAUUGCUUUUUGCCACAUUUUUAAUAUUUUACAUCUUGUUGUGGUCAUUUUUUGUCUCUUUGGUUGCUUUGCGUUAUUUUUGCAUCUCUUUUCGUGUGUUCAGUCUCUUGUUUAUCAUUUUGUGUCUUAUUUUGCUCUUUUUGCAUGCGUUUUUUUGUGUCCAUUUUGCUCAUUUUGUGUCCCUUUUGUAUAUUUUUACAUCUCUUUUUAGGUAUUGUGUCUCUCUGUAGUCAUUUUCUGUCUUAUUUUGCUCAUUUUGCAUGUUUUUGUCACUGUUUUGUGUCCUUUUGUGUCUUUGUGGUAGUUUUUUGUAACACAACUUUUCUUAUUGCGUUUAUUUUUCAUCAUUGUGUGGCUCAUUGUGUUCCUUUCGCAUUUUUUUGUGGGUGUUUAUUGUCAUACUUUUUAAUAUUUUCAUCUCUUUGUGGUCGUUUUGUGUUUCUUUUUGCUUGUGUUGCAUCCUGUCGUGGUUGCUUUGUGGUAUUUUGCAUGUCUCUGUAGGUGUUCACUCUCUUGUUCAUCAUUUUGCUUUUCUUUUUGGUGGUUUAUUGUCACAUUUUGGAUGUUUUGCAUCUCUUUGUGGUUGCUUUGUGUUAUUUUGCAUGUCUUUUUUUUAACAUUCUGUCUCAUUUUAUUCAUUUUUUUUGUAGUUGUUUACUGCCACAUUUUGGACUUUUUGCAAGAAGCGAGCGUUGUUGCUGUGAGGUUGAAGGUUUCCAAGGUAGAAAUCAUUAACUGAGGAAUUGAGAGCAGCUUCAAUAACAAAAAUAGGUUUUAUAAUCCUCUGCAGCUAAAGUUCAGCACAGACAUGCUGCUGCCGCUGUUGUUGCUCGAUCUCUGUGCGUCACUUUGACCGUUGCCGUGGCGACAGACCGGACCCAGCAGCAUCAGACAAACAGUCCAGACCAGACUGAACCAGGUGAGAGGUGAGGGGGCGGGGCCUCACAGUGACAUCAUUUUACAGGUGACUUUUGGUGACUUUUUAUGGAUGUUUUUAAUCACAACACGUUCACCUUUGUUAUCUAAUCCUGACAUUUAUCAACGGGAAACACGGUGACCUUUAUCAGCCAUGAAGGAUUUACAGACAUGAGAAGAAAAAUAUACAACUUGAUCAUACGCUUCUGUAGGAUUACAAUAAACCGCUCCCAGAUAGCUGGUUUAAAAGGGUUUUAAUAUGAGGUUUACUGUUUUAUACGAGACUUUUAACCAAUACACUGUAGUUAUGCUAUAAUCUCUGUUACAAUUAACACAUAUUUGGUUCAUUCAGUGUCUUAUUUUGGUCAUUUUGCAUCCAUUUGAGGUAGUUUUGUGUCUUAUUUGAGCCAUUUUGCAUCCCUUUGAGGAAAUUUUGUGUCUUAUUUUGGUCAUUUUCCACCAAUUUCAGGUAGCUUUGUGUCUUUUUUCUGUUAUUUUGCAUCCCUUUGAGGUAAUUUUGUGUCUUAUUUUGGUCAUUUUCCACCAAUUUCAGGUAGCUUUGUGUCUUUUUUCUGUUAUUUUGCAUCCCUUUGAGGUAAUUUUGUGUCCUACUUUGGUCAUUUUGCAUCCCUUUGACGUAGUGGUGUGUCAGAUUUGGUUUAUCUGGUCUCUUAAAUUUUUUAUUUUGUAUCCCUGGAGUUGAUUUGUGUCACAUUUAUUUGAUUUAGUCUUGUUUUGAUCAUUUUGCACCCAUUUGUGGUAGUUUUGUGUCUUAUUUGAGCCAUUUUGCAUCCCUUUGAGGACAUUUUGUGUCAGAUUUAAUUAAUUUUGCAUGUUAUUUUUGCAUCUCUUUGACAUAGUUUUGUGUCAGAUUUGGUAAAUCUAGUGUCUUAAAAUUCCCCUCUGGGAUUAAUAAAGUGAUUGCCUUGUGUUGUAUUAAAUUGUUCAUUUUUCAUUCCUUGAGUUGGUUUGUGUCAGAUUUGGUUAAUUUAGUGUCUUAUUUUGCAUCUAUUUGAGGUAGUUCUGUGUCAUAUUUGGAUAAUUCUGCAUCUUAUUAUGGUGAUUUUGCAUUAUUUUAGGUAGUUAUUGUGUCCCAUUUGCAUCUAUUUUAACCCUUUAGUGUCCUUUCUUGGUAUGUCGGUCAUUUAUUGCUUUGGUGUUCAGUCUUUUUGUGGAUAUUUUAGGUUCUUGUGUUCAUUUGUGCUCAGAUUUUUUACACUGAGCAUCCAGAUGUAGCAGUUAAAGCUGUCAAGUUGCAUUAGAAAUAAGAUAAAUACUCAAAAAGAAGCUGAGCUGAAGCUUUGACCAUAUGUUUGCUGAAACUCUACAGUGUAAAAUGACAAACUAAAUGUCUGUCCCAACAGGUGCUGCUUUAGAGCUGGAACAGAGAAAUGUUAGACAGCAGAAACAGAUCUGUUCUUUCCUUCAGUGCUGUGCUGCUCUCUGCUGGAUCAACUUAGAGCGAAUUUACUGAUUUGUUCUGGUUGAAUUUAACUCUUAAAGACUGGAAAUCAGCCAACUUCUGGAGUUUAUGAGGCGUUUAAGUGCUUUGUUUGUGUCCCUGAAGGCAGCAUCAGAGCAGAAAGUCUCCACUUGGUGGCGCUGUUUGAGUCAGCCGCUCUGAAUGGAGAGUCAAGUUCACCAGAAUGAACCAGUGAGAAACCGGAAGUGAGGUGUUUAACUUUAAAAUAUAUUUUACUGAAGGCGUCUACAAACAAAUGUUUAAUUUAGGAGGAAGAGUUCAGUCUGUAAACAGAUUUUUAAAGUAGAACUAUGUGGACAGACGUGAUGCACUAAGUAUUUUAGACAUGUUUGCAUCAUUUUACAUCUCUGUGGUAAUUUUGUGCCUCUUAUUGUUGAUUUUGUGUGUCUGUUGAUUUUUUUUUUGACAUUUUGGUCAUUUUGUGCCUAUUUUUAGGCUUUCUAUGUCCCUUAAACAUAUUUUUCUGUCACAUUUAAGUCAUCCUUUGCCUUAUUUUGGUCAUUUUACUUGUUUUUAAAGCCUUUCUGUGUGACUUUGUGUUCAUUUUGUGCCUCAAAUUGUUAAUUUUGUGUCUCUUUGUGGGUUUUCCUGGUUAUUUUUGUGAUGUUUUGAUCAUUUUGCAUUUAGUUUUUGCCUUAAAGGUCAUUUUGUGUCAUCUUUCAGCAAUUUACUGCCUUAUUUUGAUCAUUUACACGUUUUUAAGACUUUCUUUGUCUCUCCAUGGUCAUUUUGUGUCGCAUUUCCAUUCUUUUUUUGGUCAUUUUGCAUCUCUUUGUAGAUGUUCUAUCUCUUAAGGUCCAUUUUUGCAUCUAUUUGUGGUCAUUUUGUGCAUCAUGUUGUUAAUUUUGUGCCUCUGUGGGUGUUUCUGGUUAUUUUUGUGACAUUUUGCAUCUAUUUCUAGCCUUUCUAUGUUCCUUAAAGGUCAUUUUGUGUUACAUUCGAGUCAUUGAGUGCCUUUUUUAGUAAUUUUACAUCAUUUUAAAGCAUUUAUGUGUCUCUUUGUAGUCAGUUUGUGCCUCAUGUUGUCAAUUUGUGCCUCUUUAUGGGUGCUCCUUGUUGUGACAUUUUGGUCGAGUAUGUCAUAUUUUCAGAAUUUUGCAUGUUUCUUUAGCUUUUCUCUAUGUCUUAAGGAUCACUUUGUCCUACACUCGGGUCAUUUUGUGCCUUAUUCUGGUCUUUUUAAAAUUUUAAUGACAUUUCUGUCUCUGUGGUCAUUUUCUGUCACAGUCGAGUGAUUUUGUGCAUUAUUUUGGGAAAUUAACAUAAUUUCAAAAGC